rnacentral:tRNA from 12 species
GCGGGUGUAGCUCAAUGGUAGAGCACCAGCCUUCCAAGCUGGCUACGGGGGUUCGAUUCCCCUCACCCGCUCCA